CCAACGGCCCUUUUAAGGGCCACCAUAUAUUCCGAAGCAAGCAAAG
rfam:Folsomia candida strain VT population Fcan01_Sc028, whole genome shotgun sequence.